UGCACCUACGGGGCGCAGCAGUGAGGAAUAUUGGUCAAUGGACGCAAGUCUGAACCAGCCAAGUAGCGUGCAGGAUGACGGCCCUCCGGGUUGUAAACUGCUUUUAGUUGGGAAUAAAAGGGGGCUCGUGAGCCCCGUAUUGUAUGUACCAUCAGAAAAAGGACCGGCUAAUUCCGUGCCAGCAGCCGCGGUAAUACGGAAGGUCCGGGCGUUAUCCGGAGUUAUUGGGUUUAAAGGGAGCGUAGGCCGGCUUGUAAGGCAGCUGUGAAAGUCCGCGGCGCAACCGUGGAAUAGCAGUUGAAACG
rnacentral:rRNA from 1 species